rnacentral:rRNA from 1 species
CAACUUUCAGCAACGGAUCUCUUGGCUCUCGCAUCGAUGAAGAACGCAGCGAAUUGCGAUAAGUAAUGUGAAUUGCAGAUUUUCAGUGAAUCAUCGAAUCUUUGAACGCACCUUGCGCUCCUUGGUAUUCCGAGGAGCAUGCCUGUUUGAGUGUCAUCUAAUUCUCAACCAUGUCUUGAUGUACUUGGUACUUCG